UACGUAGGUGACCAGCGUUGUCCGGAUUUACUGGGCGUAAAGAGCGCGCAGGCGGUCGUUCAAGUCGAGUGUGAAAGCCCCCGGCUCAACUGGGGAGGGUCACUCGAUACUGAUCGACUUGAAGGCAGGAGAGGGAAGCGGAAUUCCCGGCGUAGUGGUGAAAUGCGUAGAUAUCUGGAGGAAUACCGGUGGCGAAGGCGGCAUCCUGGACCGACAUUGACGCUGAGGAGCGAAAGCUAGGGGAGCAAACGGG
rnacentral:rRNA from 1 species